CCACAAGGCCGCUGAAGGCCAGUUAGAACGUGGCACUCUAGAAGGACAAGAACCCUCCAGAAGUAGAUGGAUGUGGCUCCAUCCUAGGGCAGAGCUGGAGAAUGACUGCAGCCUCACUGAGGACAAUGUCUCCUGGGGCCUGUGGGCACACUGAGGCCCCAAGAGGAUAAGGAGUUUGCCCUGGGCUCCUUCCUCUGCACCUGCUGCCUCCCCAAGAAGAAGCCGUGAAUUCAUCUCCACCCAAGGAGACCAUGCACAUCCUUGGGCCCAAGUGUGCUGCCCUCUGCCUAUUGCAGGAUGAGACAAGAAAGGACAAUCUCGGAAGAUGCACUUCCUGCCACGGCGCAGGGUCAAGCUUGCCUAGAGAGUUGGUGAUGAGACAAAUCACCAAUGAAGAUCCACAGAUAAACAGCCGUCACAAUCAGGAGGAGCAAUGACGGCAACAGCACGCCGCAUAGUAAGGGAAGGAGCAUGGGGAAGCACAUUCCUCAUGUCACCAGCUCCAACCAGCGCAGCCUGGAGAAGUAACCGGGCCUCUGCAGAGGGGUUCCCCACACCCCCUCCAGCCUCCCAGUGCACCUCUCCUGGGCCAGCCCUGGGUUGGCACGUAAAAUGCAGCCAAGUGGCCAGGGAGUCAGGGAUGAAUGGCAGGAAAGGCUGAAGCCAGGGCGGCCCCUCGCCUACCCGCCCAUCCCGGUGAUUCAAAGCUAGGCCGAGGCCCGACAAAGCCCUUGAAAAUGCCAGUCAGGGAACAAUCUCUUUCCCAUACUCCCUGCCUUUGACCUUGGGCACACAGCCCCAACCUGGAUGGGCUGAUCUUUUUCCCAGCUCUGCCCAUCCCAUCCCCAGUCCCUUCUCACAUGGCACACAUAGCACAAACAGUGUACACAUCAUACACCACACACACACUCCACGGUGACAACGAGGCUUUUCACUCUAAUCACACAAUUACAGGACUGCCAAUUUGUGGGGGCCAAAUGAUAGUCUACACGGCAGAUCACAUCUUCAGGUCCUAGAUAGCCAGAAUCAACACACUUAUGAGCAUUUAAAAUGGUAGAAGCACAAAGAAAGUCUGUGCCGAAGUGGACAGGGCCCUAGGGAUCUUCCGUGGUCCCCAGUCUUCAUUCAUUUAGGUUGUUUAUAUUUUUAUUUAACUCCACUCCCUGGUUUGAUGUGCUUUUCUAUAUUUUUUUUUCCCAAAUGUAGGUGAAAACAACACGCAAUCCUUGUUAAAAUGAAAACUGGCAGUCCACGUGGCACCAGCUCAUGAGCUGCCAGAGUGGUGCACACCACACUUUGGGAAAUUCUAUCUUGGCCCAACCUUGCCAUUGUAGGGGUAGGGAAACUGAGGCCCAGACAGGGGAAGAGACCCAUCCAACAUCCACAACAAGGCAGAGGCAGGGCCACCACCUGAACCCAGAGGCCAGCCCCCAGCCUUGCUCGUCUGGGAGGGAAGACCCAGGACUCGGGCCACCCAGGCCCCCAGGGUGCCCCAAUUUGCCACAGAAUCUGAGUGCAGCCUUUUCCCCAAGGAGUGCUUGUCCCGGUAACCCUCGACCCCUCGGGUUCGGAUGGCCCCCAUACUGUCUCCCUGAAGCAUUGGGCAGGCUGUCCCCCACUGGGGCUUGGUUCCCUCACCUUCCAGGACUACAGUGAAGACGCCAAGUCUCUGAAAAGAUGCAGACAGAUGCGGGAGAAGAAACUGCGAGCAGCCCCUUUCUCGACGCCUCAGCCUUCCUCUCUGGGAAACCCUCUACCCACAUCUGCCCAGCAUCCUCAGGGAAGCCUUCCUGGCCGCAAGUGGUCUGAGCCAACACCACUAUCACCGCCCACUGCGCCACUGCUAUCACCAACUUCCUGAUGAGGAAUGUCCACGAGCACAGACUCGCUGCUCUCCAUUCGUGACAGCUCAGAGGCCUUUUUAGAAGGGGGGCUUCAUGUGAGUUUUGGCUGCGUUCUGCAAGGAAGGUUUCUAGGAGCAGCUGACCAGAUCUUGGAGGCUCGUCCUUCCUCCCGCCCGAACCCUUCCCGGGCGGCAGCCUGCUGAGGUCUGCUGAAGGCUGCGUGCACCUGCCCUUUGACCCAGCAGUACCACCUCUACAAUUCACCCAACAGGGACCAGCCCACGGGCUCAAAGGUGGAUGCACAAGGAUAUUUUCAUCGCAGGAUUGUUUGUGGCAGCAAAAGGCUAGAAAAAAUGUCACUGUCCAUCAGUAGGGACUGGGUCACGAAGUGCAGAGCAUCUGCUCCAAGGGAUGGUACGUAGCAGUAAAAUCCAGGCUAAGGAAUGAUCUGCAAAGCAUACUUCACAACAGAAUGGUGUGCGGGAUAUGCUUCCAUUGUGUAAAGG
rnacentral:lncRNA from 1 species